UUGGAGGGCAAGUCUGGUGCCAGCAGCCGCGGUAAUUCCAGCUCCAAUAGCGUAUAUUAAAGUUGUUGCAGUUAAAAAGCUCGUAGUUGAAUUUCGGGGUUCUUCCGUUGGUCAGGCUAACAAGUCUGUACUAGCGUGUAGAAUCUCUACCUUCUGGGGAACCAUCAUGUUAUUAAUUUAGCGUGGUGGGAAACCAGGACCUUUACCUUGAAAAAAUUAGAGUGUUCAAAGCAGGCUUACGUCUGAAUACAUUAGCAUGGAAUAAUAAAAUAGGACGGUGGUCCUGUUUUGUUGGUUUCUGAAUCACCGUAAUGAUUAAUAGGGAUAGUUGGGGGCAUUAGUAUUCAAUUGUCAGAGGUGAAAUUCUUGGAUUUAUUGAAGACUAACUUCUGCGAAAGCAUUUGCCAAGGAUGUUUUCAUUAAUCAAGAACGAAAGUUAGGGGAUCGAAGACGAUCAGAUACCGUCGUAGUCUUAACCAUAAACUAUGCCGACUAGGGAUCGGACGAUGUUAAAUUUUAUUGACUCGUUCGGCGCCUUACGGGAAACCAAAGUGUUUGGGUUC
rnacentral:rRNA from 1 species